ensembl:misc_RNA Metazoa_SRP Metazoan signal recognition particle RNA
GCUGGGCGUGGUGGCACGUGCCUGUAAUCCCAGCUACCCUGGAGGCUGAGGCAGGAGAAUCGCUUGAACCCAGGAGGCAGAGGUUGCAGUGAGCUGAGAUCGUGCCACUGCACCCUAGCCUGGGUGACAGAGCAAGACUCUGUCUCAA